rnacentral:rRNA from 1 species
UACGGAGGGGGCGAGCGUUGUCCGGAAUUAUUGGGCGUAAAGGGCGCGUAGGCGGGCUAAUCAGUCUGGGGUGAAAGUGUGCGGCUCAACCGUAGAAUUGCCUCAGAUACAGUUAGUCUUGAGUUCGGGAGAGGGAAGUGGAAUUCCUGGUGUAGCGGUGAAAUGCGUAGAUAUCAGGAAGAACACCGGUGGCGAAGGCGGCUUUCUGGUCCGAAACUGACGCUGAGGCGCGAAAGUGUGGGUAGCGAACAGG